rnacentral:rRNA from 1 species
GAUGAACGCUGGCGGCGUGCCUAAUACAUGCAAGUAGAACGCUGAAGGAGGAGCUUGCUCUUCUGGAUGAGUUGCGAACGGGUGAGUAACGCGUAGGUAACCUGCCUGGUAGCGGGGGAUAACUAUUGGAAACGAUAGCUAAUACCGCAUGACAACAGUUAUUGCAUGAUAACUGUUUAAAAGGGGCAACUGCUCCACUACCAGAUGGACCUGCGUUGUAUUAGCUAGUUGGUGAGGUAACGGCUCACCAAGGCGACGAUACAUAGCCGACCUGAGAGGGUGAUCGGCCACACUGGGACUGAGACACGGCCCAGACUCCUACGGGAGGCAGCAGUAGGGAAGCUUCGGCAAUGGACGGAAGUCUGACCGAGCAACGCCGCGUGAGUGAAGAAGGUUUUCGGAUCGUAAAGCUCUGUUGUAAGAGAAGAACGAGUGUGAGAGUGGAAAGUUCACACUGUGACGGUAUCUGACCAGAAAGGGACGGCUAACUACGUG